UUGGCCUUUCGUUUUUCCUGGCAGCCGGUGCCCGUCCAUUUAUAUGGUUCAAGCGAAGUUGCUGUUCUGAGAAAGACUCCAGAGAAUCCAUCACCUCCUCAGAGGGAGCCUGCUCAGAAAUCACCAGCUAUUGUACUUAGUGACUGUCAG